rnacentral:misc_RNA from 1 species
AGAAGUAAAAGUCGUAACAAGGUCUCCGUUGGUGAACCAGCGGAGGGAUCAUUACAGAGUUGCAAAACUCCCAAACCAUUGUGAACGUUACCUAUCCCGUUGCUUCGGCGGGCGGCCCGGGCCCCGCGCCCGGCGCCCCCCGGCCCCCCGUGGGCGCCCGCCGGAGGUAAACCAAACCCUUGAAUUGCAUGGCCUCUCUGAGUCUUCUGUACUGAAUAAGUCAAAACUUUCAACAACGGAUCUCUUGGUUCUG